rnacentral:rRNA from 1 species
GACGAACGCUGGCGGCGUGCUUAACACAUGCAAGUCGAACGGAAAGGCCCUGCUUUUGUGGGGUGCUCGAGUGGCGAACGGGUGAGUAACACGUGAGUAACCUGCCCUUGACUUUGGGAUAACUUCAGGAAACUGGGGCUAAUACCGGAUAGGAGCUCCUGCUGCAUGGUGGGGGUUGGAAAGUUUCGGCGGUUGGGGAUGGACUCGCGGCUUAUCAGCUUGUUGGUGGGGUAGUGGCUUACCAAGGCUUUGACGGGUAGCCGGCCUGAGAGGGUGACCGGCCACAUUGGGACUGAGAUACGGACCAGACUCCUACAGGAGGCAGCAGUGGGGAGUAUUGCACAAUGAGAGGAAGCCUGAUACAGCAACGCCGCGUGCGGGAUGACGGCCUUCGGGUUGUAAAACGCUUUCGCCUGUGACGAAGCGUGAGUGACGGUAAUGGGUAAAGAAGCACCGGCUAACUACGUG